rnacentral:lncRNA from 11 species
GGGGGCUACCCUGAUCUCUUUAGGGAGAACAUUUCAAAGCCAGGGGGCCAGCACCGAAAAGGCUCUUUCUUUUGUCCCCACCAACUUCGCUUGAGAUGAAAGUUGGACCAAGAGGAGGGCCUCCCUGACAGAUAUCAGAGCUCGCGCCGGUGCAUAGGGGGAGAUGUGGUGUCAAAGAUAGGUUGGACCCAAAGCGUAUGUCUGUGUUUUCAACUGAUUCACCAUGGUUCCUUCGAAAUGAGAGCAGAAGAACAGCCAGCCUAGGGUUGCCAUAUGAACUAUAGGACAAGGUGCCUGUACCUUUAUUGGCUGUGUAGAAGAAGGAGAUGUUCC